AUAUGUAUGGUUUGAAAGCCACCAGUGGUUGAAUGACUGCAAAUAGGUUUUUGUUUUUUAGCAAUGGACGAUUCACAGCAGAAGCUGUUUCAAUGGCUACCACGUUGGCUUGUCUAAUCACAAGAGGAGUGGUGAGAGAUCCUGCAGAUCCAAGCAGGUAGGCAGGUGAGCUGGAGCCUGACCACAUCUGUGCCCGUCCAGAUGAAGGAACGGAAAUGCAUCCUGGGAAGUUGAGAUCAGCAAAACACAAAGCGGGUCUUUGUCUGUACAGCCGCUGGCACAGCCAGUGGUCCUGAGCACUUUAACAUCGGUUAAAGCUCUUCACCUGGAUUCAACUGAAAAAUGAGAAGUGAUAUAAAACACUGCAGGAACAUACACAAAUGCGGUAAUGCCUUGAAGUAUCAUGUUGGUUGAUACAAAAGUAGGUGGUUGAAAAUGAAAGAUGAGACCUUUAAGUGCAGGUCAGGCUGAUGGUGUUAAACCUGCUUAUUUUUCUCAUUGGACACUUGGAACUAUGACGAUGCUUAAGACUUUUUUGAUUCUUAGAAGGCCAUGUUGUGAAUCUUACAUCCAAGAUAAGCAGUCCUGAACUGAGUGGUAUUAUUUCAGGCAUUACAACAUUAAUGAAAAUAAAAUCUUAAGUUGGAUUGACAGGACGUAAACUGUAAUGACACAUCUGCUGUUUUGACUGAACCGACAACUUUUUUUGCCAACUGGUAGAUAAGAUCUCCUCUCUGGACCUGAAACAAGCAGCUUUCUCUUCCUCUGUGUUCCCCACUGUUCCUGAAAAUACCCACAGGUUUCAAGACAAAAAAUUACACUUGAAGGUUCGAUCCGCAGCCGAAUUUGAGCCGUUGUUGAAAUGUUAAUGCCCGGAUUCCUCAGACUAUCUGGAUGCUGUAGGGACUGAUAUUAAAAUAGUGUGGCCACUCAACCAUAUGUCUGUAACCAUAUGUCCGCAAAAAGUGAAAACAAGUGUAAUAUAAUACAAUGUAAACUGAGGAGCAGACUCGAGCCUGUAACUUGGGGUUUGCAGAAUUUAAGUUUAGUAUUUUCUGAGACAUCCUGUGCAGGAGAAUAUAGUUUAUUGAUUUUUAUAACACUGACACUU